UACGGGGGGGGGCAAGCGUUGUUCGGAAUUACUGGGCGUAAAGGGCUCGUAGGCGGCCAACUAAGUCAGACGUGAAAUCCCCCGGCUUAACCUGGGAACUGCGUCUGAUACUGGGAGGCUUGAGUAUGGGAGAGGGAUGUAGAAUUCCAGGUGUAGCGGUGAAAUGCGUAGAUAUCUGGAGGAAUACCGGUGGCGAAGGCGGCAUCCUGGACCAUAACUGACGCUGAGGCGCGAAAGCUAGGGGAGCAAACGGG
rnacentral:rRNA from 1 species